GACGAACGCUGGCGGCGUGCCUAACACAUGCAAGUCGAGCGAAGUGCUUAGGACUGAUUCCUUCGGGAUGACGACCUAAGUAUCUUAGCGGCGGAUGGGUGAGUAACGCGUGAGAAACCUGCCUUUCACAAGGGAAUAGCCUCGGGAAACUGGGAUUAAUACCCUAUGAUAGCUUUAUUUCACAUGAAAUUUAGCUUAAAGCGAAAAGCGGUGAAAGAUGGUCUCACGUCCCAUUAGUUAGUUGGUGAGAUAAAAGCUCACCAAGACAACGAUGGGUAGCCGGCCUGAGAGGGUGACCGGCCACACUGGAACUGAGACACGGUCCAG
rnacentral:rRNA from 1 species